rnacentral:rRNA from 1 species
GACGAACGCUGGCGGCGUGCCUAAUACAUGCAAGUUGAGCGCUGAAGGUUGGUACUUGUACCAACUGGAUGAGCAGCGAACGGGUGAGUAACGCGUGGGGAAUCUGCCUUUGAGCGGGGGACAACAUUUGGAAACGAAUGCUAAUACCGCAUAAAAACUUUAAACACAAGUUUUAAGUUUGAAAGAUACAAUUGCGUCACUCAAAGAUGAUCCCGCGUUGUAUUAGCUAGUUGGUGAGGUAAAGGCUCACCAAGGCGAUGAUACAUAGCCGACCUGAGAGGGUGAUCGGCCACAUUGGGACUGAGACACGGCCCAAACUCCUACGGGAGGCAGCAGUAGGGAAUCUUCGGCAAUGGACGAAAGUCUGACCGAGCAACGCCGCGGGAGUGAAGAAGGUUUUCGGAUCGUAAAACUCUGUUGGUAGAGAAGAACGUUGGUGAGAGUGGAAAGCUCAUCAAGUGACGGUAACUACCCAGAAAGGGACGGCUAACUACGUG